UAUGGCGACCGGCGCGCGGGUGAGUAACGCGUAUCCAACCUGCCCUUUACUAUGGGACAGCCCGUCGAAAGGCGGAUUAAUACCGUAUGUUGUCAUGUUGAUGCAUAUUUUCAUGACCAAAGGCUUCGGCCGGUAAAGGAUGGGGAUGCGUCUGAUUAGCUUGCCGGCGGGGUAACGGCCCACCGGGGCGACGAUCAGUAGGGGUUCUGAGAGGAAGGUCCCCCACAUUGGAACUGAGACACGGUCCAAACUCCUACGGAAGGCAGCAG
rnacentral:rRNA from 1 species